GUCUACAGUCAUGCCACCCUGAACAAGCCCGAUCCCGUCUGAUCUGGAAGCUAAGCAGGGUUGGGCCUGGUUAGUACUUGGAUGGGAGACCACCUAGGAAGACCAGGUGUUGUAGGCA
rnacentral:rRNA from 1 species